AAUGAGAAUGCUUCUCUCGAGGGUUUCUCCCGCUCAUCCCUACCCCCAAAAAACUUCCUUCUGCCUAUUUGGCCUCUCCUUCGUCGUCGUUACCUAUAUCCUCAUGUGGAAGGUCAUUCUACCUUUAAGGGGUAACAUUCUGAAAAUUGAAAGGAGGGAUGAAGCUACAAUGUACAAAAUGAAGUAAUUCAAAAUAUAAUUCUUGGUCUUGGCCUUAAAAUGAGUAUGACUCCGAGAAUGCAUAAAGACCAAGUUUGAAAAAAACAAAUAAUAAAGUUGUGAGGACGAAGUGCUAAUAUCUGUUGAAAGCUCUUGGGAUAUCAUAGACUUUGAUAGUUGUAUUUUUUGUUUUUAUCUUAUUUGGUAAUGUAUUUGUAUAAUGAAGCAUGACAACUAAUAGCAUAAGAGUUAUAUUGGUAUAGUUUUAUACAAUACACAAUUAUUUGUUGGGACUUUCAAUUGUAAUAAAAUUAUAUGAAUUGAAAAUUCAAUGGAAAGUGUUUUUUUAUUAUAUUA